AGAGUUUGAUCCUGGCUCAGGACGAACGCUGGCGGCGUGCUUAACACAUGCAAGUCGAACGGGCCUGUCCUGGUUUUUGCUGGGGUGGGUUAGUGGCGAACGGGUGAGUAACACGUGAGUAACCUGCCCCUCACUUCUGGAUAACCGCUUGAAAGGGUGGCUAAUACGGGGUGUUCUGGCUGUGCCGCAUGGUGUGGUUGGGAAAGAUUCACUGUUUUGGUGUUUUGGUGGGGGAUGGGCUCGCGGCCUAUCAGCUUGUUGGUGGGGUGAUGGCCUGCCAAGGCUUUGACGGGUAGCCGGCCUGAGAGGGUGGGCGGUCACACUGGGACUGAGACACGGCCCAGACUCCUGCGGGAGGCAGCAGUGGGGGAUAUUGCACAAUGGGCGGAAGCCUGAUGCAGCGACGUCGCGUGAGGGAUGGAGGCCUUCGGGUUGUGAACCUCUUUCUCCGGUGGUGAAGGCCCUGUCCGUUGCGGCGGGGUUGACGGUAGCCGGGUAUGAAGCGCCGGCUAACUACGUGCCAGCAGCCGCGGUAAUACGUAGGGCGCGAGCGUUGUCCGGAAUUAUUGGGCGUAAAGGGCUUGUAGGCGGCUGGUCGCGUCUGCCGUGAAAUCCUCUGGCUCAGCUGGGGGCGUGCGGUGGGUACGGGCUGGCUUGAGUGCGGUAGGGGAGGCUGGAACUCCUGGUGUAGCGGUGGAAUGCGCAGAUAUCAGGAAGAACACCGGUGGCGAAGGCGGGUCUCUGGGCCGUUACUGACGCUGAGGAGCGAAAGCGUGGGGAGCGAACAGGAUUAGAUACCCUGGUAGUCCAUGCUGUAAACGUUGGGCACUAGGUGUGGGGGGUCUUUCCGGGUCUUCCGCGCCGUAGCUAACGCAUUAAGUGCCCCGCCUGGGGAGUACGGCCGCAAGG
rnacentral:rRNA from 1 species